rnacentral:tRNA from 1 species
GUGGCCCAAUGGAUAAGGCGUCCGACUACGGAUCGGAAGAUUCCGAGUUCGACUCUCGG